GGAGCUUGUACAGAUGGUCUGUGUUUUGACUGCAAAUUAAAAUUUAGAGAUUCGAUUUCUCCUGGCUCCU
rnacentral:tRNA from 2 species